UACGUAGGUGGCAAGCGUUGUCCGGAAUUAUUGGGCGUAAAGCGCGCGCAGGCGGUCCUUUAAGUCUGAUGUGAAAGCCUACGGCUCAACCGUGGAGGGUCAUUGGAAACUGGGGGACUUGAGUGCAGGAGAGAAGAGUGGAAUUCCACGUGUAGCGGUGAAAUGCGUAGAUAUCGGGAGGAACACCUGUGGCGAAGGCGGCCGCCUGGUUGGAUACUGCGCUGAGGUGCGAAAGCGUGGGGAGCAAACAGG
rnacentral:rRNA from 1 species